rnacentral:lncRNA from 1 species
UGGAGCGCGUGGUACCCCCCGCCGUCGGGCUCGCCGACGGGCCGGCCCUCCCCCUCCACCAGCCGCUGCAGCUUCUCCAGAUCGCCGUACGCCGCCGCGGUGUACACGUCGUUCUUCAGCGACUCGUCCUCCGCGGCCGCGGCCCCCGCCCCCGCCUCCGCCCCCGCGCCAUCCGCGGCGGAAGGUGCCGUGGACGCCGCCGCGACGAGGGAGGUCGAGGAGGAGGAGGUGGUGGUGUCCUCGAGCACCUCGAUCUCCGACGCCAUGGGCCGGGUGGGAUCGGGGGCGGGGACGGGUCAGGGAAGGCGGCGAGGGGGUACGGGGGAGGGAGGAGGGGAGGAGUGUUUGACCGGGCGUUGGUUGAUUGCGUUUGUCCCAGCCCAGGCGACUCGUGAGGAGCGUGGCCGGAGGCGGAGAACGAGAGGGAAGGUCGGGUUGAGGCCUGGCCAAUGGGGAUGUCGGGUUUUGCGUGUCAGGACCUCGGUUCUUCUCGUUUCAAAGUUUGGGCCUGUCAGACUGGAGGAUCUGGAUGUGGACCCUUGAAAUCUCAAAGCUUCCCGAACUGAUCCUUCCAGUCCGAAGCUAGAUUCAAAGUGUCAAACCACUAAUCAUCAACUAUAUAAGAUAUUUAAAGACAAUAUGCAAGAAACUAAGGUAAUCCUGCAACUCUCGUAACUCCAUCCAGACCAGUUGGUGGAUAAGAUACUCUUCACUUUUAUUUGGGAUAAGUGCUACCUAAGUUGUUUUCCCUUUGUUUUGUGCAUGCUGCAAAUAAAAAGCAUUGCAAUUGAAGAACAAUGGCUCAGUAUGUCCUCUAUUUAACAUAGCAUGCACUUUGAAGCAUACAACACAAGGUUUACAAAUAUUCGUCAGGCCCAAGCAAACGGCAUUCUGGAUAGUGUUUGCACAUGCACUUUGCUUCUUUAACUUUCUAUGUCAGAGAUUUAAUUUGUUGAUCUCAUCGAUUUGUAGCAUGCCCUCCUUAAAUUCUUUGCAAAUUCAAAUGUACUUUGCUUCUCUAAUUAGGUUUGGGUGUGUUGCCAAACUAUUCAAGUUUUGGUCCAAUGGAAGGUUAAGUCUCCAGUUCUGUACCAUGCAAGGGUAGUGUACAUUAGGCACUGUACAUUGAUGUUUAACCACGUUAGAUGGACCCCCUAAAUCUGUGGUCAAGCUCCACCUCUAGUACCAUGGAUGUUUUUAGAUUUUGCUCCAAUUUAUCUCUAAAUUGAACUUCUACGUAGAAAUGGACAUUUGGCAGUUCCUUUUGAUCAUAGCUUCAGUUAGUCAAUACCUGUCUGGUGUGCUGCUCGUUGUGCUCCAUGAUCAUACACAGGCAUAUAGCAAUGCGCAGAAAAAUGAACAAUAUUGUAUUGUACCAGAAUUUUCUCCGUAUGUUUUAUCCUUGCGAGUAUCUCUAAAAGAUUAGCAAAAAUAGCACAUACAUUCUGUCGGACAGAUGUUUCUGGAUACUCUUAAUCGCAAUAACCAUUAUUAAAUUAGAGAUGUCACCAGAGAAAAUAGGCACACCCAACUUUUUUUGCUUGCAUGACCAAGUAUCCUUCUAGAUUGAGACAAGAGGUGACUUCGAUGGAAAAAGAACUUUACCAUUCUUCUCUCUUCAGGUGUGUGUGUCUUCUCAAAAGCAAACUCAGAGUUGUGCAAGAAACAUGCUAUCAUUUCUAUUUCUUGCCACUUGUUAAUCUUUGACAAGAAUAUACAACACCUGCUGAAUAAUGCACGGGUUGGUAUGUUGGCGAACAGCUUGAAAAUGUAGGUGUGAGAAAAACAAUGCGAUGUAAAAGCAUUGCUUAUAACCAAACCCCAUGUAAUUACAUUACAUACAAUUGAUUCAUGUGCUAUUUCAUUCAGCUGCUGCAGACACAUCUGUGGCGAUGAGAGCACAUCAGCACAGUGAAUCUCACUUGUUGGCGAAUAGUCAGCUAAACCCAAGUUACAUUUCUGUUGAAGCAAGUUACCCUCAAGUCCUCAUUCCUCAACAGGCGACACCAGUAGCUGGUCCUUGUGAAGGCGAUAAGAGCACAGCGCAAGGUGAAGAGCUGAUCAACUGAAGAUGAUGGUCCCUGCAGCGAAGUAGUUCUGCGAAAGCAAGGAGAUCCCUCUGCCAGAAUCCCUGCUCCCCUUGGUCCGAAAACGGCAUCAGCUUCCGUGUCGGUCGUAUUCGCCGACUCACAUGCUGCCUCAAGAGAAAACGAAUUCGGAGUCCGUCGGCGUUUCCAUAUAUUCAGCUGCCUCAAGAGAAAGACUCGGAAUCCGCUCACAUGCUGGGUUGUGAAGCCGACUCGGACUGCGCACCUGAAGAAGCCCCCAAUAAAAACAGGAGGCAGGGGAGGCCGUUCUCCAACAAAUCAACCCAAAAGCAUAGCAGGGGGGGGGGGGGGGGGGGGGGGGGAAAAAAUAGCAAGAACCAAGAGAGAAUCACCGGCCGGAGUAGCAACCAUGAAGCGGAUCACGUCGAAGCUGCACUUUCUCGCGGUCUUGCUCGUCAUCUUGCUGCUCCUGCCCUCGGCUGCCAUGGCCGCCGUAGCCAAGGCCAUCGACGGAAGCAAGACCCAGCGACUGCAGCUGCCCGACGAUCUGGUCGGCCCUGAGAGCGUCGCGUUCGACGCGCACGGUGCCGGGCCCUAUGUCAGCAUCUCGGACGGCCGCGUCCUCAAGUAUGGCGGCGAAGGUGUCGGGUGGAAGACGUUCGCGUACAGCCCCAGCUACACCAAGAACAAGUGCGACGAGUUCUCUGAGCUUCCGGCAGUCGCCACGGAGAGCUCAUGCGGCCGACCGCUUGGGCUGCGGUUCCACAACAACUCCGGGAACCUCUACAUAGCCGAUGCGUACAUGGGGCUGAUGCGCGUCGGGCCAAAUGGCGGGGAGGCGACGGUGCUGGCGACGGAGGCGGGUGGUGCGCCACUGCGCUUCACGAACGGCGUGGAUAUCGACCAGGUUACGGGUGACGUCUACUUUACCGACAGCAGCAAGACGUACACACGGGCGCAACAUCAGAUGGUCACCACAUCUGGAGACUCGACGGGGCGUAUCAUGAAAUAUGACCCACGGACUAACAAGGUCACCGUGCUUCAGUCCGGAGUGACGUACCCCAACGGCAUUGCCAUCAGCGCCGAUAGGACCCACCUUGUGGUCGCGCUUACGGGACCAUGCAAGCUAAUGAAGUAUUGGAUCCGAGGGUCUAAGGCCAACACAUCUGAGCCGUUUGCUGACCUCCCAGGAUACCCGGACAAUGUGAGGCCCGAUGGGAAGGGAGGAUACUGGGUAGCAUUGCAUCGCGAGAAGUACGAACUUCCAUUUGGUUUGGACAAACAUUUACUCGCUAUUAGGAUCGGCGCUGACGGUGAAAAGCUGCAAGAGAUGAAGGGACCCAAGAACGUGAGACCGACCGAGGUGGUGGAAAGACAGGACGGCAAAAUAUAUCUUGGAUCGGUAGAGUUGUCAUACGUCGGCAUCGUUGGCACGUAGAAGUAUGUAGCUAGGUUUAGGACUUUAUAAGAUAUAGUAUUUGAUCUUUUUAGGAUGUUGCAGUAGCGUUCAUGUACGUUCUUUCUUUGUGUGGGUCUUUAAUCAAUAAAAUGUUUUAGUUCUAUGAAUUAUGAAUUAUGAUAUUUACACAUGCAUGGUGUCUGAAUUGAAGUGUUUGACACGUUGACGGGAUGACGAGAGAAGCCUGCCAAUUAGCCGACUUCCUCACUGGCUCACUGCACGGCCUCUCUGCUGACCGACGACGACACUUGAUCGGCCUGGACCUGGACACGGCCUAGCGCAGAUCGCCACGCCCCAGGCAGCUGCCAAAGCCACCACCAAACCCGCGCACCAGUCUCGCUGAACCCAAGCCGUCAACUACGAUCCCUGAUCGGCUGAUCGCCUGAGCGCGAGGCAUGGUUAUUGGAUUAUAAUGCAGAAACAUGUAGAAACUGCGGAACGAAGAAGUUUGUUAACAAAAUUACUUCUGUCCAACUACCACACUAGACAGUACAUACAAGAACAUACGUACAUUCCUAAGAACUCAAUAAGAAGCCUGAUCAAGAUACGGUGGUGUUGGACACUUGACCACGCCUACUAUAUGUCAGCGAGAUCAGGUGAUCCCACGUACCACUAAAAAUCAAAGCACCAAGCAAGAGCUAUUUUACGGUAUGACACUAAUGUUCGAAAAGGACUUAGUGUACGGUCAAAAUUAAUUGUUUGGUAUGGGUAGUGGCGAAUGCUAUAUAUCGCAUAUGCUGCAAUUUCACCACUUGUCGUCUUCUACGCCUCCGUGUAGGAAGAACUGGUGCGUGCAUGCAAGAGAAACAAAACUGAUGAUGUCUUCCUACAUGCAAAAAUGUUUGAAACUUAAAAAAACUAUAAAUCUUACACUGAGCAUCAAAAUUAAAUUUUGAUUGCACCAUUGGAUUUCUGACAAUAAAAGCUUCACAACAAGACCCCACUUGACUAUAUUUGGACGUAUUUUUUUAUUCAUAUUUUUUAAUCAAGGUUGCAUAUUUUCUCUGAGACAUGUAUACGUGGAACAAAUUACAUAAUAAAAACGUAUACCCUUAAAACUAUGGUGAAUACUAUUUAUUUUCUUUAUUUUCUCCUUUUACUUAUCCCGUCUCUAAUAUAUUUGUUCUUGUUCUUGUUAGUUUGUAUAAUUUAGUUUGCGUGUAUAAAUAUUUGUUCUAUAAGAUUGUCCAAUUAGUUCCCAGUAUAUAAAAUUUUGUUCCUUGAAUUUGAUGAUUGGUUUCGGACUGAGUUCAUAUAAUUUGUUCCAGACGUACAAUUUUUUAUUCCAUAAAUUUGUACAAAUUGUUGGAGAUCUAUACAUUUUUUUCGUUCUAUGUAUUCAUAUAAUUUGUUCAAUCUGUAACUUCUAUAACUUGUUCUAGUUAUACAUAUCAUAAAAAUAUUUUCACCUUCAUAAAAAUAUCUAUAAAUAAAUUUCAUCCAAACAUAGUUGAGUGUGAUCUUAUUUUGAAGAUUUAAGAUUAAUGAUGCAAUCGGAAUUUAAUUUAGAUGCUCGAUUUAUGGGUUAUGACUUUUUUAAACUUCAAAACUGCAUGCACGUGGAUGAUGUCAUCAAACUUGUCCUCGCUUGCAUUCAUGCAUACAUGCAAGAUUCUUUUUAUUCUCUAUAAAGAUGGGCCUUAUGGGCCAAAUAAAAGUAGAUAGGUCAUAAGUGCAUGUGCUGCUCCAAUCUUAAGGUGACAUGUGCCGAAUUUGUGGCCUUCAGUGAUAACUAGUCGCACCGAUAGUUAGUAUACAUGACUAAUAUAGAUAGUAUUAGGGUAUCAUGGUAAAUGAACACAAAUGACAUAAUAUAAUUUUAUUUUUGACACUAGCGUAAAGGUAGCAUAAAGUUUAAAAGACCAUUCCAUUUAAAGUAUCACUUUUUACAAUGUAAUAAUUAGUAAAUUAGAACGGUUAGAUCUAACUAGCAAUACUGCUUUUAGCAUAUCCACCUAGUCACGCGUCACGACCUGGCGAAAUCUGACAUGGAAACCGGUAACUAGUCUCACUCAUCUCCAUUUCUCCUCCUCCCAAAUAAGGUAGUGUUGGAUGCUUGGACUACACCUGUAUAAUAGCAGCAGGUGAUCCCAUUCUAUCUCUUCGCUCAAGAAAUCGAAACAAACGACGCUUUUAGCAUGUAUUUAUCCACCUCGUCACGACCUAAGGGAUUGUCAAUGACAUGGAAAUCCCUUUUCUUGCAGCGUCUGAGAGAGCAUCGUCGGAGGCGUAUGAAACAUGUAAACUCCCAAAACGGUAGCUCGUCUCACUCAUUAUCUCCAGUUCUCCUCCUCCUCCCCCCAAUCAGUUGCCGGCUUGAAGUGCAGUAUCGCCUUUAAUUUCCCCGUGUAUUCAGGUAGCACUACAAAUAGAGAGGAUUCCCUGUCAGUCCAUCGCAGAGGGAGACGUUCGCGGAAAAGAGAGAGGAGGAGGGAGGGAGGGAGGGUUCCUCGUCGCCGAUCGCAGCAUCAGAUUUCUCUUCGUUCCUCACCGGCCGAGAGGUAUGAAGAAAUUACGCGUUGCGCUCGUUGUCCACUGUCUUGGCCUGCUGCUACGUACUUGCAGCACAUGCUCUUUCAUAAACCUCGCUCCGCAGCGUCGGCUCCUUUUCUUUUGCACCACGCUGGAUCCCAUCCUACCAUCCGCAGUUCGGGAUAUGGCUUGGAUUGGCACAACACUGCACACCGAUCCGACGCUUGCCGGUCAUCAUCGAUCGAGCUGUUGUUGUUCGUACGUCUCGCGCGCUUGCCGUCGAUCGAUCGGGUACAUGCAUGGCCAUGUCGUCACGAACUUGCAACGAGUUCUAGUCCCCUCCUCUCGCCUACAGUAGUAGAGUCCAUGUUCAUGCCAAUCCUUUGUAGUAAGAUUAAGUUUCGCUAUGAUGAUCUGGCGGAGGUGCCAUGGCCGGCGUGCUCCUCUUCAGCCUGUGCCGCGCCGCGUUGCAAUUUUGAUGGCUGAAUUUCCAUGCAUGAUAGUAUGAUACCUAGCUCCUGAGCCAUUAGAGUUCUCGUUCCGAUGACCGGCAGCGGCGCCGCUCGCCUCAGCUCGCGCGCACAUGCGGCAGCUCCGGCGGCUGCCCGGUCAGGCGCUCACCGGUGGCGCGGUGCCGGCAUGCUCCUCCUGAGUCGUUCGGGUGUCCGCGCGGCGGUUCCUCGAUCCAUGCCCCCUUUGAUCCCUUCGAUGCUUCGUGUUACGAUCCGAUUGGAAUGCAAUGGGGAUUCCCACUGAAUCACUGACGUAGGAUAGAUUUUCUCCAACAUGCUAAGCUUUCUUCCAUGUUUUGACGUUAGGCUAUCCUAGUAUAUAUAGUUUUACCUCCAUAUGGCAUAUCCUAGCCAACGCCAUUCAAAUACACAUAAUUUUAGUUCGUUCAAACACGUAUGUUCAUCAAGCUUGCUCUAUCUCGGUACCAAAAUCAGAGGGUGUUAAAAUUUAUGUCACAUUGAAUAUUCGGAGGCUAAUUAGGAGGACUAAAUAUGAGCUAAUUAUAAAACUAAUUACAUAGAUGGAGGCUAACUCACAAGACGAAUCUAUUAAGUCUAAUUAAUCCAUCAUUAGUACAUGUUUACUAUAGCAUCACAUUGUCAAAUCAUAAACUAAUUAGGCUUAAUAGAUUCGUCUCGCAAAUUAGUCUCCAUCUGUGCUAUUGGUUUUGUAAUUAGUCUAUAUUUAAUACUCCUAAUUAGUAUCUAAACAUUCGAUGUGAGGAGGGACUAAAUAAACAAACACCCCCUCAGUAGUGCAUUUCACUUUUGUUUUCUACCAAAAUCAGUCUGGGAGUGUGGACUGCGGGCACUGGGCAGUGUCCCUGCUCUGCUCCCCUGCCUGCUCUGCUCCCCGGCGUCUCCCCUGCUUUUUGGAUUGCAGGGAGCGAGAGCUGGAGGCAGAAGGCCACCGUCGCGCUGUACCGGAAGGCCACCAAGCAAGAAAACAGGCAUCGCUUGCCAAUUGCAAGAUUUGUACAAACAAUCUGUAUUAUGGAUGAUUCCCUAUUUCCAAAUUGCAAGAUCUGUACAAACGAUCCAUUCGGAGGGAAGAGAGAGGAAAAGAAGAGAAAAAAGAAAAACGCGUCACUGCAGGUUCCAUAUGUAAGGUGAAAAGGCUUUUACAGUUUCACAGCUGUUUUCAACCAAACAGCUUUCAGCUUCCUCAUAGCUGACAGUUCACAACAGCUUUUUCACCGCUCACAGUCCACAUCAGCUUUUUCACAGCUCACAGCCCAACCAAACACACCCUAAAGCCCCCGUUGGCCUCCUUACCGGGAUAUAUAGCGAGUAUUUGUGCUCUAAAACUUUAGUAGAAUACAUGGUUAAAGAAAAUCAUUUUGGUCUUCCAGUGCAAAGAAAUUAAUAUUCUUGUAAUUUUGAAUAUAAUACAUUAUCAUAUAUAGAUAUUGUUGUGCAAUUUAUGGAAAUAAAUUAGUAGUUAUCUGAUAUAUAUAUGUAUAUAUGGCUAAAGGAAUGCAUUCUGCUGAACCAAUCAUAGAAGUAAUUUUCCUCUAGAUUUGAAUACAAUACAUUAAUAAUAGAUAUAUGCUACUAUGCUCAAUACUAAAAUUUAUAUAAGUUAGUACUCUGCCCGCCCAAAAAGAAUGGUAUUUUGGGAUUUAAAAUUUAUCUAAAAAAUGACAUCCUAGGAUUUAAAUCUCGUUAAGAUUCAAUCGAUGAACUAUUGCCUGUUUCCAAGGCUUGACAUUGAUAUGGUCAUCCAGUCAAGUCUAUAUAGUUUAGAUCCUAACAGUGUAAAGAACUUCACAUAGUAAUUAAGUAGAAAAUCAUGGUGUAAUUUUGACUCUAAACUUUAUUAGGUGAGGACGUAGAUAAUUGCUCAUCUUUUUUCAUGCUAAUCCUGACCUAGUAAAUAGCCUGGUCCACCUGGACAUCCCAAACUCGACCUAUGCCAGAUAUUGUCAAACAUUCUUCGGAAGUGCUAGCGUCCGGACGUCCGAUAAUUUUGUUUUAUCGGACGCUCCAUCACAAUAUUGAAAAAUAACUAUCGAAACAUCAAAAGUCAACACUUGCAACACCGAAGAUUGCAAUACCUUUACGUGCAUGAAACAUCCCGAAUUGUUUCGUGCAACAUUCAAAACAGACACAUUGCAAUAAAAAAAACAUCUCUUACAAUAUUGCAACAACGAAAGAAGAAGAGACGAAACAAAGAAAAUAACUAUAUGCAAUAUCAUGAACAAGUUGGUGCUGUCGGGGAUACAUCCCCAGUACCUGCAAGGAAGGAAGAAGUCGGACUCCUACUAGGAUUCCCCUGUAAUCCGACUAGGACUAGUCCCGUGUACUCCUACUAGGACUCCUCCUUGUAAUCCGACUAGUACUCUGCCCCCUGGAGUAUAUAAAGGAGGCCAGGGGUACCUAGCUCGGCAGGUCAUACCUCAACACCCAAGCCCAGAACACACGAGGACAACUCCAAUUCAUCAAAUACAAACCAACACACAGGACGUAGGGUAUUAGGCGAUCUAGCGGUCCGAACCUGUCUAAAUCGUGUUCCUUGCGUCACCAUUGGUUCCUUGAUUCUCGAUGACCCUUACCGCAUAAAAGACCACCUAGGGUACCCCCUAGGCGGGUUGCCGGUCUAAAACACCGACAGCUGGCGCGCCAGGUAGGAGGACUCAUCGAGUUUCUCAGCGCGAACUCAAUGGCACGGUCGUCAUCAAGCCCAUCUUCGCUAUCGAAGCGGGCGCAACCUUCGUUUUUGGAUCCUGGCUCUGCAUCGCCGACGGCGCUGGAUCGUUCCGGCACGAGAUCGUCAACUCCGACGGUGACCUCGGGUUCCAUCGCGAUUCGAACUCGAACUCCGACGGUGACUCCGGGUCCGACUACAACUUGGAGUCCGACGGCGACUCCGAGUCCGACUACGACUCGAAGUCCGACAGCGACUCUGAGUUUGACUACAACUCGAAAGUCGAACUACAUCGCAAGCUCGCCGACAACUACGGGCGGCUCGCCGAUGAUUUCAUCGACUACGUCGUAGGCACGCCGACUACUUCAGCCAAGCAUGGUCUACGCUCAAAACGCACCCUUGUCUCGGGGUCUUGGAUAAGUCCGACCCUCUAAGCCGGGGAUCGGGCGAUUCGAAGCCUUGCGGCAAGGGGUUGGGCGCAUCCGACCCUGGGACAAAGGGUCGGGCGAGGCGGAGUUCCAUCCUCAAAGGGUCGGGCAUGUCCGACCCCGGGACCUUGGGUCGGGCGAGACAGAAUGAACUACUCCUCGCCCGCGUCAAGACAACCACGAUCAGCUUGGCGACCACUCCGUCAACUACGGGCAGCUCGUCGACAACUUCAACUACGUUGCGAGCUCGCCGGCGACUACGGGCGGCUCAGCAACAACUUCGACUACUCCCCUCGACUACUUCGCUCGGCAACACGCUGAUGACUACGUCAUAACGCUCGCCGACGAUUUCUCCUAGUACGUCGCGGCGCUCGCCGACUACUACGGGCGGCUCGCCGAUGACUACUCCGACCACAUCGCGACGCCCACUGACGACUACUACUCGUCUCGACUACAAGGCUAGUCGAGGGCGGACUACCCCAAUUCUUCGUCUCGACUAAAAAAUUAGUCGGGGCAAACUUCGCGUCGUCGACAACUAGUCAGAAUCGCAUCCGACUAGUCGACUUCAUCAACGACCGUCACGGCUUCGUCAACAAUCAUCCACGAAUCAAGCUAAGUCACUUUUCUAAAUUAUUUUCCGGCUUAUUUUCCGUUUGCGCGCAACACGCGCUCUACUCGCUGGAAACUCUUGCGCGCAACGCGUGCUCUAUUCGUCGGAGGGCAGCAAACUCUUUCGCGCUACCGCGCUCUCUUUUUAUCGCAACAGCGAAUAUUCCCUUUUUUGCCCUCUUAAGGUCACUACUCUUCUCGAGUAGAACACGCCUGAACUCGUGAAAGCCUCAGGCGCAUCUGUCACGCCUAAGCCCAUACGCGUAUACGAGACAACGAUCUCACACACGCAGCGGCAACGGCUACCCAGAGACUGAGAGCCUAAGCGUAACAGGCUAACUACUCGGGAAGAGUAUGACUGAAACAAGAGCUUGACUCGCAAUCAUGCAGUCUCUUUCUUGUCGCAGCAGCGACUACUCUCACUUUUGUCUUCUCUUAAGGUCACUACUCUUCUCGAGUAGAACACGCCUUAACUCGUGAAAGCCUCAGGCACAUCUGUCACGCCUAAGCCCACACGCGUAUACGAGACAACGAUCUCACACACGCAGCGGCAACGGCUACCUAGAGACUGAGAGCCUAAUCAUAACAGGCUAACUACUCGGGAAGAAUAUGACCGAAAUAAGAGCAUGACACAACUUCAUACUGAUCAAUGAAUAAAUUUCAGCAGUUUCAAAAUCCUACAAAAAUGCUACAUAAUGUAUGCAUCUUUUCUUUCAGAUCGAGCUUCAGCGACGCUAAGCAUGCCUCCAACGGCACAGGCUAGUUCCCGAACUCGGGGGCUAAGCACCAAUCAGUACUCGGAAUAUCUCCAGUGGCUCAGCUAGCUCCCAGGUUCGGGGGCUGGACGUCACAAAACCACUCAACGUGGCUUGAACGACUUACCUGGCGCAUAAGCUCGGGGGCUGGACGCCGCAAGGCUACUCGAAUGAUGACCUGAGUGAAGAUUCAAGACCCUCGGGUUGAUUAUUCAAUCAAUCCAAGGCUCGGGAAGAUUCAAGAUUUUGACCCUCAGCCUGAUUCUACGAUUCAACCUAAGGCUCGGGGGCUACUCCAUAUGGAGUGCGACUUUCGCCGCCCUCCAUACACGAAGACUACAAUAUCAUGUUGAUCAAGACUUUGAGCACACCAUAGCCUCAUGACAGCUUUGAGAAGUAUUGAAAGAUUCAGCCUGACAAAGUACUCGAAGAGCACCAAGACUACUUGGUGAAUAUCUCAAGACUACUCGAAGACUGCUGCAUUUGACUAUGAAGCGCUCGGGGGCUUGUCGGGGAUACAUCCCCAGUACCCGCAAGGAAGGAAGAAGUCGGACUCCUACUAGGAUUCCCCUGUAAUCCGACUAGAACUAGUCCCGUGUACUCCUACUAGGACUCCUCCUUGUAAUCCGACUAGUACUCUGCCCCCUGGAGUAUAUAAAGGAGGGCAGGGGUACCUAGCUCGGCAGGUCAUACCUCAACACCUAAGCCCAGAACACAUGAGGACAACUCCAGUUCAUCAAAUACAAACCAACACACAGGACGUAGGGUAUUAGGCGAUCUAGUGGUCCGAACCUGUCUAAAUCGUGUUCCUUGCAUCACCAUUGGUUCCUUGAUUCUCGACGACCCUUACCGCACAAAAGACCACCUAGGGUACCCCCUAGGCGGGUUGCCGGUCUAAAACACCGAUAGGUGCAACACCCGAUUGCUGGCAUGUCAGACUGUUGCAAAACAGAUGAAACAUCAAAAGCCACCGUUGCAACAUCCAAAAAUAACUAUUGCAACAUCAUGAGGAACCUAUUGCAACACUUAGAUCCACGACAACCAGCCUGCCGCCGAAGGUCGUCCACCAUAGCCGCUGCCCGAUCCUUCCCUACUCGGAUCUCGCCAGGGUCGGGGAGAGGGCCACCGGAUCCGGUGCAAAAUAGAUGAAACAUCAAAAGCCACCGUUGCAACAUCAAAAAUAACUAUUGCAACACCAUGAGGUACCUAUUGCAACACUCAGAUCCACGACAACCAACCUGCCGCCGAAGGUCGUCCACCAUGGCCGCCGCCCAAUCCUUCCCCGCUCGGAUCUCGCCGGGGUCAGGGAGAGGGUCACCGGAUCCGGUGCAAAACAGAUGAAACAUCAAAAGCCACCGUUGCAACAUCCAAAAAUAACUAUUGUAACACCAUGAGGUACCUAUUGCGACACUUAGAUCCACGACAACCAGCCUACCGCCGAAGGUCGUCCACCAUGGCCGCCGCCCGAUCCUUCCCCGCUCGGAUCUCGCCGGGGUCGGGGAGAGGGCCACCAGAUCCGGUGCAAAACAAAUGAAACAUCAAAAGCCGCCGUUGCAACAUCCAAAAAUAACUAUUGCAACACUAUGAGGUACCUAUUGCAAUACUCCGGCAUCCUCAACCAACCGCCGGAGUGGGGGGAGAGGCGCCGCUAGGGUGGGGGACGAGGUUCCCGGAGUGGAGGAGCGCGCCGCCGCCGGGGUGGACGAGGAGGACGUUGUGCUGGGGGAGCGCGCCGCCGUUGGGGUGGGGGACGAGGCCACCGGGGACUUGCUGUGUGUGGAGAGAGAGAGAGCUGUUGGAGGAUUAUCUUGUUCGGUGAAUGAGGUAAAUAUGAGAAGGGAUAAGAUUCACGUGGACGGUAAAAAGCCACGUUGCAUCCGAUAUUUUGCUGGCGUCGGACGUCGGGAGCUUAGCAUUACCGAACAUUCUUACUAUCACUUAUCUGAGUGAUUAUAAUUUCCAGACUAAUUAUAGUAUCAGAGAUGUGGAAAUGAAGCUAUCACGUUGCAUACGAGAGGAGCACAUGAGCCCAAGCGAGAAGGCCUAUGCACGUGCUGCUCUUUGAAGCUGGUAUGCAUAUUCAUGCCUCUCCCCAUCAUCAUUAGAUUACCACGCACGUGUAAGAAUAACCUCACCAGAUGCACGUGUAUGCAACUAAUUCGCUAGUGGUCUCUAGCAUCUUUCAAUAAAUAAACAGAAACAAAUUGAUAACAUAAUAUAAGUAGUAAUAUUUUCCCUUAAGGAAAAAGUCCAUUAUACUACGACCCUCACCAAUUCCAUUUGUCUGUCUAACCCCUGCACAAAACUUAGCCUCAAUUUACUCCCUGAACUAUUUCACUUGGGCCACUCUAACCCCUAAUGAGAUUUGUAUCUUUUGUUUCUCCAUUCACAGAUUGAAUUGUAAGUUCAAAUUUCAUGAGCAGAUAGAGAACAUGGUGUUUUAUGUUAGAAAAAUACAUUAAAAUUUUUUCAUAAUUAUUUUCAUAGCUUAAAAAUAUAUAAUACAAACUUGAUCCUAAAGAUAUGAAACUAUAUGAAAACUAAUUGUGAAAAAUUUCUGUAGUAUUUUUCUAAAAUAGGGCACCUUGUUACAAGUGACCUCACAAAAUUUGGGCUUAAAAUCAAAUUAUACACGGAGAAAAAAAAAAAGAGAAACCUCAUUGGGGUAGAUUGGAGCAACUGAAAUACUUUGAGGGAGUAAAUUGAGCCUAGAUUUUGCUCGGAGGGUUAAGCGGGCAACAUGAAAUGGUAAGGGUAGUAAAAUGAAUUUUUCUCUUAAAAAUUUCAAGGCCUUGAAUGAAUGUAAACAUGUACACCAUUUUAUUAAGUGGACACCAAAUAUUUUGGAUAGAGAUUCCUCUUUGGAUAUUGAGCUUACUAGUGGCAGGGCCAGAAACUCCAAAUUUUCCUUGUUAGGGGGCCCGAUAGUGUUAUUUUUUCAGAAUUUAGUCAAAAUCUGAAUUUUUAUAGUGGAAAGUUGCAUUGCUUAGGGGGGACCUUGGCCUCUAUGGCCCCCUGGCUACGCAGCUCCCUUGGAGCUUACUACUACUGGACAGGAUAAAGAAGAGAUUUUGGGCUUACAUUAUACUGAUUUUAAAAGUUUAUAACAGAAUCUGAGGUUAAUAUAUAGUUGUUGUAAGAAUCCGAUUAGUUUUGUUUACAAGAUAAAUCAAAUUCAUUUCACUUGUCAUGCGUAUAGUUCUGGUUUGCUGGUAAAGAUGGUCUGGAAAAGUAGCAAUUCCUCAUCCUAGACAAAAAAAAUCUUGACUAGAAAUUGUGUUUUAUUAGUAUCACUAAAAAAACAAAAGGUCAACAAAACUAGUGACGAAAAUAGUCAACCUCAUCCAGUCUUCGACUAAUGCAUGGUAUUGUAGGCAUUCUCAAUGGAGAGGUUGAGUAUGAUUCGCUUGGACUGGAUAUCAGGGAUUUUCGCACUGGUGCUACUGAGAUGAGAUGUGGAGAAACCUGUUCUAGAGGAUGUAGAACAGUGGCAGCGUGCCUAGUCUCAGACGACGAGUUUCUAGCUACAGAUGUAUAAAAUAAUUACUAGUUACAGCACACGAAUCUAUGUGUAGAGAUGUGUUCGUUACCAUAGAUCUUGGUGAUGCAGGAUCAAGGGCAGGGCCAAAUCUGCUCUAAGGGGAGCAAAAAUUUGGUGAAGAAGAAGAGGGCAAAUUGUGGGGCUGAUGGUUCAUUCGUGUUUCGGUCUAACCGUUUUUUUGGUCAUCUACAGGUAUGAAUUAUUAUGGUAAAUUAACAUAUUUAAUAUAACUUCUAAGAAACAAUUUUCUUUGUUAUUAGUUUUAGCAAAAAAAAGCAUGGAACAAAUGGGCAGACCAACAAUAAUUAUCCCAUAUAUUUAUUCUCUCAAAAAACAUAGAAAAUAAUUACAUACAGAUAAUACAUGCAUGUGCCAUCAAAAGUAUUUUACUUUAGCUUUUGUUUACCAUCUCUGGAGAGGUACCCAAAUUCAAAGCUAUCUCUUGGUAACUUUCCAAAAACACUUUUCCAAGAACCUAAAAAAUAUUAUUUUUUUCUCGAAUAUGCAGAAGAACUGCGCAUUAAGAUAGGAGAAAGGCGUGCGCGCACCCACUUGCCUCGAAGGCCAAAAAAACAUUGUUCUACUUACAUGGUAUCUUUCUGCUGAAUGGUCGAGUGCUUCAUCUUUGAUCGGCACCAAGCUCCCAUUAGAUGAUACCUAUUCUUUGAAUUGCAUGUGCAUGCAAAGUUGUGGGUUCUCUUUUCGCGACCGUGGCACGUAUUUCAUUAAGUAGGAAGAGAGAAGAGAAGAACAAAGUACAGAGUUUCAGAGUUACAAGUGGUCAUCUAGAGAGAUUGACCUUACGAGCACAAAGAUGAUGUAGCAACUCCUUUCAAAUAGUAGAUGGAGAGUAGCAUAGCACGCCAGACGAAUCUCCACAUAUUUUCCCACAAGAAGUGCAAAUACUUCAACACCUCAUCCUUCUUCACUAUAUAUAUGACGGGAAGUUCUAACCCUUUAUAUAUAGAUGACAUAUUGGUGCUCGAAUACUUAAAUGGAUAUAGAUGGCUAAAGAAAAUAAUUCUAAUAAACCAAACCAAAGCGAUUAAUAUUAUUGUAAAUUUGGAUAUGACACAUAAAUCAUAGGUAGAAAAAAAAAGUGAGAAUGAGAGCCCCCCGUUCCCCUCCGCCAGCGCCCCACCUUCCUCCGCCACCGCGAUACCCGCCGCCACCGGCGACAGCCCUAGCCUACCCCCGCAGAGCUUCAGCGGGUCUGAAACCCAACCUGAACCUACGCCCCCCAUCCCCAAUCACCCCGCUUUCAAGGAGAGCAGGGGAACAGUUCGUCAACGCCUCCCCACCGCCACCUCCACAGGUCCACUAUCCGCCGCCGCUCGAGGCCGAUUGGGUGCCGGAAUCGCCGGAUUCGCAGGCCACUUCGCCGGAUCUGAGGAUCCCCUUGCAAGAUCUGAGACCUGGCAGCUACAAGCCUACCCCCGCCACGAAGGAUGAGACGCGGUCCUAUGCGGAGGUCGUCAGAGGCAGGCGUUUCAAUUCUCCAACCGCCCAAAGCUCUCCGCGGCGCCACGGGGAAGGGAGCGCUCCAGUCCAUGGGCGACGGAGUAACUCCGAUGACAAGACGGCUCCGCGGCGCAUUCAAGACCCUACGUCAGCGGCGAGACGCUCAGGGCCCUGGUACGGCAAAGUAAAGGAACUAUCUCAGCACAAUCUGGUGCGCCAUGACUGGCAGCCAGUGAGGAGUCGAAGGACGCGGCGGCAGGCGCUGCCCGAGAUGCCACGACGCGAUGGCGGAAGUGACCGGAGCCGCAGAAGCAAUUCAAGGAGGCCACCAACCAAGGCGCUGCUUGCCUUCAAACGCGAGACUGAGGGCUGCUGCUUUCGGUGCCUCGCCCCAGACCACCUCGCCUCGACGUGCCGCGACCCCGUGCGCUGCUUCCGGUGCCGGCGAUUCAGGCACAGAGAGCGCGAGUGCGGGGCGGCGCGGGCACCACCUCAACGGAGACCCGCCAGACACGGGCCGCCUCCUCGCACCACGCCAGCCACCCGACGACGACAACCAGCUGCCACGCCACCAGCACAGCCGCGCGCCACAGCUCCUGCCAGCCGCCUGCCGACCAACAACGCCCAGACCUCGACACGCCACCACCCCCUAGCAGUACCACGCCGCGCGGCUCCCAUCGAUAGCCAGCCGCGAUCGGGCUCCACUCUCGCUGCCAGCCAUCCUCCACCUGAACCAAGAAACACCACAUCCAAAAUGGCCAUAGGAGAUCCAAACACGCGGCCAGAAGUAGAAACCGUGUUCGUCUCCAACUCCUUCCACCUUGAGAAUGAUGCGCGGGACUGGGAAGCCUGCACGCUCGUCCCGUGGGCACUGCACCUGCCGCCGGACACCGGAGCCAGGGACAUCGCCAACCUCCUUACCAGAGAGCUUUGCCUACGGCCUGGUGACGUCACCGUCAUGCUCCACCAGCCUGAACCAUACCUAAUCAGGUUCGAGCAAGCGGAGCACGCGGCGGAGGCACGUCGCUGAGGGCGCUUCACAGGAGCGGGUAUUGACAUCUGCCUACGCACAUGGCGGAGCCUCACACACGUCCUCGGCUUCCGCAUCUUCUACAGGGUGCGCCUCUGCCUCGACGGCAUCCCGUCACACGCCUGGAUGCCGGAGAUCGUCGAGCGUGUCAUCGGCCACAAGUGUGCCCUGCAGCACAUCGUCACCGACCUCCUCCAACCGGCGGACUCCAGGCAUAUUGAGCUCUGGGCUUGGAUGGUGGACCCGAGCAAGAUCCCGAAGAAGGUAUGGCUUGCCUUCACCCAUAACCCAGCGGCAAAAUCCUUCGCUUUUGUAGUCUCGGCCGAGCCCCCGCAGCUAUCAUGGCAGCAAGGGGCCCGAUAUGAAGUUUUCAUCCACAUGCCACUCCUGGAGGACUAUUCGGCGGCGGCACGCGAUCUUCAGCAAGCCAUUGACAACCCGCAGAGCGUCACCCCAACUCGGCGGCGCUAUGAAUGGCGCUACGGCCUCGUCGACAGUGUGCCAUCUGAUGCAAGGUCGCGCUUUCCGGCGCGACUGCCUCGACCACCGCGGGAACCGAUCGACGUGGAUCCACACCAUGCUGACCACAGCAGGGGACGACGUGCACCAAUGGGCGCCCCCAGAGCAGAGCACGGCGCCCGGGCCGCGGGCGGCGAUGGAGAAGGCGGAAGCAGGCGCGGCGUGAGCGCCCGUCAAGACCCGCGCAACAAAGAUGACCGCACCAGGCGCCGGCCGGCGCGACAGCAUUGUGAUGAACGGCCAUUCGUCUGGCUGACCCGCCGCGGAGAUGAAGAUGACGACAACGACGGCGACUACGACCACCCAGGACAGGGGCGCAAGCUCGGCGAUGACUACUGGGGCUAUGCGGGCACGGUGCGCCGUGACCGCACAAGAUCACCCCCAAGACGCAACUACGCGCCUCCGCAUGGAUGGCGCCAUGAAGCCGGCGACCCGGGGCUAAACAACUUAGCUCCGUCACAACUCCAGGCCCUCUUCGUGGCGCAAGCCACCCUCUUCGUGGCGCAAGCCACGACGCUGAAGAACUACAUGCAGCAGCAGGUAAUCGAGGCACCUGAUACGACUGACAUUUCCACUUUGGAUGCUAGGAAGCGGUUCUGGCACGCCGGCGCCGACGAAUACAUCCGCAAAGCGUGCUGGCUCGCCGACCGCCUAGGCAUCGAGGACGCGGUGCAAGGGGAAAAGGCCUGGUCCGACCCGGUGCCGCUGCCGCGAGUCUUCAACAGUCUACGAGCGGCGCUGCUACCAGCUUCGGCGACGGCGACGGCGUCACCGACGAUUCAAGAGGUCGACCGGGCACUGGAUGUCUUGUGCAUCGAGGCUGAACAAAAAGAUGCAAGCAACAUGGGCCAAGAACACGAGCAGACGACAGCCCAGAGAGCCACGGGCAAUAAGAUCAUUAAUGCGGCCCAAGUAGCGGAGCCUAAACCACAGCAAGCCGUCUCAGCAGGCGCAUUGGUAAGGCGGCAUUCCAAGGUGAGCGGCCAAUUACGAGCUGGGCCGUGGCAGGCCCAACAAACCAAGGCACUUGCGACACCUCCUGCAGGGGCCGCAACUGAGUUGGCCCGCGAAAAAUCACAAGCCGAACCCUCCACACCACCGCCUGCAACCAAGAGCACCAAGCCCACCAGUGAGGCCCAUUACUCGCCACAAACACUAGAUGAGGCCUACUACCAACCGUUAGACACCCAUCCUGUAAGGCCAGCGGAUCCCCAAUCCAAUCCAGAACAACACACGCCUGUGCACCAGUCACCUGAUGUUGCGCCACAGGUAGCCCCUGCUGUGCCUGCCCCACAAAUAGAUGACCUCUUCGCAACCCCGCCGCCGCCAGCAUUGCUACAGCCCCCACCGCAGCGCACACGUCGGGGCCGCACCUUCGACAUGAGUAAGGUGCGGCGGAGCGCGUGCCUGGCGAAGAAGCCAGCCAUGCCAGCAGUUGAAUGCGCGCAGCGAAACUUAUGGAGAAAAUUAGGUGUUGGCAAUGAUGAGAUGACGCCAAUUGAGCAGGUACUGUAGGAUUUCUUUAACAUGUUUCAGGGGGCGCUACCGGACUUCAUCAUAUUUGCUAUGACUGCACUCUUCGACCUCGACGACGAAGCUGCCGACCAAGUGAAUGACGCACUUCUACAGAUGGCAGGCGAUGAUGUGGGAGAGCUCCAACAGGUGGAUCACGCGGCUACAUGAUCAUUCCGCCACUGCAUCUGCACCAAGUGUCUUACUACUACUCCAUGUAUCGCUAUCUUUAUGUACUUCCUAUUCCUGUGCCUCACCCUGCUGGCUGCGACCUUCGGGCAAAACUCGUGAACUACAAACUAUGCCCCGACUACUAUCAACCUAAACCUUGGAUGGCAACUACUACAGCGACAAAGCGCGUCAAUGGACAUGCUCCAGCGGCAAAAAACACCUCCGAUUUUUGAAUAGCGCACCCACGCGAUCAGUAUCCUACGAGACACAACAUCACUGCCGCAACAAAUGCUCCUAAACUGCAAAUCGCCCAGUCCGCCAGCAAGCGCCCCAAAAAUAACUUAGAUGAACGGCAACUUUGAAAUAAUGAGUUGGAACGUGCGAGGUCUAAACGCACCCGCUAGAUGUCUCACAGUAUGUGAAACUAUUGCGACGACAACGUGCCACAUCGCAUGUUUGCAGGAAACGAAGCUGCAAAAUAUAGACGUGGCCCUAGCAAACCUUCUAGGGGGACCUCGCUUAAAUAAAUUUACAUACAAACCGGCUUCAGGCACAAAGGGCGGAAUCCUCCUCCUCUGGGAUGACAGGGUUUUCGACAUGCAGAACUUCCAAACGGGGCGCUUCUCUAUCUCAGCAACAACAACAGUAAAACACAGUAACUUGCACUUCCGACUCACGACGGUAUACGACCUAUCACACCACUCAGCGAAGUCUGCCUUCCUGCGCCACCUGCAGGCCAUGGGGCCUGAUGACGACACCAAAUGGCUAGUACUGGGCGACUUCAACCUAAUAUACAGCGCAAGAGACAAGAAUAACAACAACCUAAACUGGAGGCUAAUGAGGAGCUUCAGAGCAACACUAAAUCAUUGCGGACUCAAAGAAAUACACUUACAAAAUAGGCGAUUCACCUGGAGCAAUGCAAGGCAUCAACCGACGCUAUCGCGAAUCGACUGAGUCUUCUGCAAUGAACCUUGGGACCUACAAUUCGAUGAUCAUGUCCUCCACGCUCUCUCUUCCUCGCACUCGGACCACUGCCCUUUACUACCGGCACAGCAAUCUGGUCCUCGCAAGCCGACACCUUUCAAAUUCGAAAACUUCUGGACGCGGUUACCAGGAUUCUAUGAGGUAGUCGCCCAGGAAUGGUCAAAGGCGACGGCCCACACUGAACCAUUCCAUAGACUGGGUUACAAGCUGCACAAAACAGCCCAAGCACUGCGAUCAUGGAGCCGAAUGCACGUCUCGGAUGCCCGCUUAAAAAUGCACAUGGCCCAAGAAGUUAUCCUGCGCCUUGACAUAGCGGAGGAAACAAGAACACUCACUGAAUCGGAACAUGACUUACGGAGCAAGCUCAAAAAAAGGCUCCUAGGAUGGGCGGCCAUAGAAAAAGCAAGGAAGAAACAAUGCUCCAGGAUAACCUAUCUGCGCGAGGGCGAUGCUAAUACAAGGUUUUUCCACCUGAAGGCGAAUGGUAGAAAGAGAAAAAACUUCAUCCAACGACUAAAGAGAGAAAGCGGCUGGGCUGUAACUCACAUGGAUAAGCAGCAGAUAAUCCAAAAUCACUUCGACAGCGUGAUGUCCACACCAACCAACCCGCACCAAAGAUUUAAACUGGGAAAAGUUACAAUUCCCAGAGGUGGAUUUAACCGGAAUCGACAGCCCUUUUUCGGACAAGGAAAUACUACACGCAAUAACUGACUUGCCCAAAAACAAAGCGCCGGGACCGGACGGCUUCACUGGUCUGUUUUUCAAAUCAUGCUGGAACAUAAUAAAAGGGGAUGUCAUAGCGACAGUAAACGCUUUCUACACCGCUAGAUGCAACGACCUCAAUUUAGUCAACUCAGCCAACAUCGUCCUAAUACCCAAAAAGGAAGGAGCCGAAAGCAUCAAGGAUUUCAGACCGAUAAGCCUCAUACACGCCAUUUCACAGACACAGAAGGCCGACGCUGCUAAUGAAGCUGGACAUCUCAAAGGCCUUUGACUCUGUCCGAUGGGAUUACCUGCUCGAACUAAUGCAACACAGAGGCUUUCCCACGCGGUGGCGGGACUGGAUAACUGCAUUACUGGCCACAUCAACUUCCAAAGUCCUGAUAAAUGGAAUCCCAUCUGAUUCAAUCGCACACGGGAGAGGACUACGACAAGGAGACCCGCUAUCCCCCUUCCUCAUCAUCCUUGCGAUAGAUCCGCUGUACCAACUAAUACACAAGGCGACGGAAAUGGGACUACUCAAAAAGCUCGGAGGGCGUACGCCACGCACCAGCAUCUCCAUGUAUGCUGAUGACGCGGUCAUAUUCAUAAAACCGGCACAAGCAGACGUCGCAAAUGUAACAAAGCUAUUGAAUCUUUUCGGGGAGGCAACUGGGCUUAAAACAAACCUACAAAAGACAACUGUGGCUCCCAUCAGUUGCGAUAACGUAGACCUCGAAGAAAUCCUCUCAGAGUGGCCGAUUGCUCGCACAGGCUUCCCAUUAAGGUACCUCGGACUACCACUUGCGAUAAGGCGCCUAAAGAAAUUGGACUUUCAGCCCCUAAUGGACAAAACAACACAGAAGCUCUCCGGAUGGCACAGUCGCAACCUCACCCAAGCAGGACGGGUUUGCUAACUGUCAUUAUACCUACUAACUGUCAUAAAAGCACCAAACGAAGUUUUAGACGAACUAGACAAAAUAAGGAAACGAUUCAUCUGGGCCAGAGACAAAACGCUUACAAGCGGCAAAUGCAAGGUUAAUUGGAUCAAAUCCUGCUUACCAAAAGAAAAUGGCGGGUUAGGAGUGCUAAACCUCCACAAAUUCGCUAGAGCAUUGAGACUGCGAUGGAUUUGGCACGAGUGGGAGUCACCACGAAAAACAUGGAUUGGAACGGGGAUACCAUGUGACGACUCCGAUCAACGCUUGUUCGCAGCUUGCACAACGAUCACAGUGGGUAAUGGACGCAAAACAAGCUUCUAGCAUUCAGCCUGGGGACAAGGAACUAGGCCAAAGGACAUCGCGCCCAACAUAUAUAUGCUAUCCAGGGGGAAGCAUAAAAAACUAGCAGAAGCCUUAUAUGACAAUAGCUGGGUGGCGGACAUAAACAUUCACGACGGACUGACAACGCAACACCUCCAAGAAUUUGUAACACUCUGGCGUCUAGCAACAAUGGUGCGGCUGCAAACACAACAAGAAGACACAAUUCGAUGGAAAUUCACGUCCAACGGAAAAUACUCAGCGGCAUCAGCAUACAAGGCGCAGUUCCUGGGAUCCACUUAUGCACCACACUACAAAACAAUAUGGCACUGCUGGGCACCCCCGAAGUGCAAAUUUUUCGCAUGGUUGAUCCUCCAAAACCGCGUAUGGACAGCUGAUCGACUUGCGCGACGAGGAUGGCCUCACUCCCCUGCAUGCCCCUUGUGCCGUAUACAACAAGAGACAGCACACCACCUAGUGGCUCAGUGUAGAUACACCAAGCGAAUAUGGAGCCUCGUGGCCACUUGGGCAUCACAACCAAGCAUACAACCCUCGGAAUGGCCCCCAACCGACAAUGCCCUGGAAUGGUGGAUGAAUAUGACUACAAGGACCGAAGCACCUCGGAAGGGAACAUGCUCUAUGGCGCUGCUGAUAAUAUGGGAAAUCUGGAAGGAGCGGAAUAGGCGAAUUUUCAACCAUCAAGAGAUGGCAGCACCCUCAUUGCUGGCCAAAAUCAAGGAGGAAGCAGGCACAUGAAUUUUAGCAGGGGCAAAAGCUUUAGCGACUUUUUCAUCUAGAGAGUAAUCGUGUAAGAGUGACAUAUUUGAAACACUUCUGUAAUAAUCUACUCUAUCAAUGAAAUAGGCACUGUCUCGUGCCCAUUCAUUCAAAAAAAAAAUCAUAGGUACAACAUUUAAUAAUUCUCUAAUAUAUAAAUAUGGCUAAAGGAAUGCCUUGUCCUGAAUUAAUGCAUAGAAGUAAUUAUUCCUCUAGAUUUGAAUAGGAUACAUUAUAUAUUGUAGAUACAUACUAUGCUUAGUGAUCUAAGAGAUAGAUAUAAGUAACAUGAAUGGAUUCUAUAUGCUCAAUCAAAGCACAUCAACUAACUAUUCCUACAUAUUUAUAUGGGAAAAUCCUUUCUACGUGCGGCCGUGUAGCUACUCCCACCUGCGUAUCUCAUGGUGCAGGACGUAUCCGACCCAAAGAAGAGUAUGUACGUGGACUUAUCUGACCCAAAGAAGAUACUGAUCCUGUCAUCCAGAGACGAGUCUAUCUAGUUCAGUCCCAGAGAAUGCGAAGAACAGAUUAAGUAGAAAACUAUGGUAUCAUUCUGACCUAAACUUGAUUAGUCACAGAUGUUGGUUCAUCUGGAUAUAUAUGACGCGGUUUCUCGGGCUAACCGGCCGGCAAAACAGUUUGAGUAACUGUAGCAUUUUCCCGUCUUAAUGAAACAUGCAUGUGGUCAGGCACGUUCUAAAAGUAAGUAACUGCACCAUUAAUUUUGAGUAACCAUAUAGUUUCCUGUGAGUAAACUUAUAAUAGCGGCCAUCUUAUCUGUAUAACUCCUAGAGAUUGUCAUAGUCAUGGGCGACAGGAAAUGUGAAUUGUCAUAAUCUAGAGCCAGUAAUCAACCCAACCAAGGUCUUGAAUCUGGAGUCAAUUUUUUUUCUUCCAAAUAGUGACUUCUUGAGUUCAAUAACUCACGGUAAACCAUGAGUUUUCGAAAUCAUGCAUCCCAAUCUUAAGGAAGUGCACUAGUAGGUUCUUUUGUAUCACUUUUGGAUAGUCAUCGAAUUGCCGAACCUUUGAGCAGCGGAUCGACCGCCGCAUUCCCUCUCCUGUUCUCAUAGCUGGAUAAUAGCGCGCGGCAACAAAAAAGCCAGCAUCGUUUCUGAUCUCCUUCACGUACACAGCCAGUUGCUUGCUUGCGACGACCAUGCCGCUGCAUGAAGAAUAUGGACCGGAUGUUUAGAGUAGUCAGUAAGCAAACACUGCCUAAAGUAAGUUUAUUACAGAGCUACAUGCUGUCUUGCUGCAUUGGCGCAAAUAUCCAGCGAGUGAAUGACUGCUGGGCAUUUCAGACUUGUUUAAACAGAGGUCAGUAGUCUUAGUAACGCUGCACACACGGGUAAAAUAGUGUAUGUAAACCAAACCAACGGCGUCGGCGACGUCUUAGCGGUGUUUGGUUCCACAUGCUAAAGUUCAGUCCCUGUCACAUCGAAUGUUUAGAUACUAAUUAGGAGGACUAAACAUAAACUAAUUAUAAAACCAAUUGCACAGAUGGAGGCUAAUUCGUGAGACGGAUUUAUUAAGUCUAAUUAGUCCAUGAUUUGACAAUGUGAUGCUACAGUAAAUAUGUGUUAAUUAUGAAUUAAUUAGGCUUAAUAGAUUCGUCUCGCGAAUUAGCCUCCAUUUGUGCUCCAUUUGUGCAAUUGAUUUUGUAAUUAGUCUAUAUUUAAUACUUCUAAUUAGUAUUAGACAUUCGAUGUGAUACGGAUUAAACUUUAGUUCGUUUGUGGAACCAACCACCACGCCUCUCCGCAGUUUCUAAGCGAAAGCGAAGGUACGCCGAGAUGUAGUAGGCGAUUCCGCACUGACACUUUGUGGGACACAAUUUCAAUUCGGACGAGCUGUCUAUUCACAAGUUGCAAAAUAUCGAAUCCCACCCACAGUUGCACACCGUUGUCUGGACAAAGUUGACGGGUGGGUGGCGGCCUAAUCCCGUGGAAGAUAAAUCCAAUGCUCCCAUUUGCCGCGACAAUGGCGAAGCGUUGUUUGAUGCACCAGCACUUGUCAACAACGCUGACUGGCCCUCUGGCGACUCGUUAUGAUGAGCCAUUGGUAAUUUCAGGACCGAAGAGUGAUCCUGCAUACAAUUACCUUGGAGUCCAACUUACCUAACUCUUAUCCCUGAUAACGUGAGGCAGUUUUUGGAGGGACUUGUAUCCUGAAAAGCUUCUGUAACCAAAUACACGUACGACUAUAGGCGCAUCAUGCCUGUUCACUCGAUAGCAGCAGAGGUGGUUCAUCUGGAUGGACCGGCCUCCGAUCAACAACUUCCCCAGUUUCCCGUGCAAGCAAGGGGGAAGAUGACAGGUCACCAAGAAUUAGGCUAUCCACACGCACCGCCUUUAAACUCAUCUCUAAAUAAGCAUGGCCCACCUGUCAUAACCGAUUUAGAGAUCAAACCAACGCAGCUCUCCACCGCCGCCCCGCCUCUAUCCACAUCGGCAAACCAACCGUCUCCUCCCUCCCUCCCCGACUCGCUCUCCGCUGCCCCUCUCUCCUCCCUCCCCUCCAGCGCGGCGGCCCGGCCUCCUCCUCCCUCCGGCGCGGCAGCCCGGCCUCCUCCCUCCCCAUCGCCCUCCCCGCCUGCUGCUCUCCGCCGCCCCUCUCCCCCCCCCCUCCCCUCCUCCCGGCCGGUGGCCCGGCGCGGGCAGCCUCCAGAUCCGCUCGCGGUGGGAGCUCGAGGACGUCGACCUGGCGACAAGAGCGUGGUGGCGACGGCACGAGGUCGUGGCAGCCGGUGAAGAGGCGGACGGCAGCCCCUAUUUCAAUUGGCAGGGGCGCGCUCUCCCCCUCCUUCUCCGGCGUGACAGCCUCUCGGCACGGGCGCGGCGGCCCGCUGCUCUCUGCCGCCACCCCUCUCUCCUCUCUCUUCCCUCCCCUCCGGCACUGCUCUCCCCUUCUCCCUCCCCACCGGCCACCUCCUUCCCGCCGGCCACACGCAGGACACUUCGCAGGCGGGGCACGAGAUUCGCGUCGAUAGGAUAGCGUUCGUCCGCUCGAGCGCUGGCUUUGGAGGUUUCCUGUAGCGAUCGGAGGGGUAGAGGUUGGGAUAGAGAGUAGCGGUGCGGGAGUUUGGCCGAUGUAUUUAGCGUUCCAGGAGAUUUACAGUCCUGCGGUGCGGAUAGCCUUAGCAGCAGAUGUCCCUCGUCAAAACUUCAAGCUAGUAGUCGGCAAAAUAGAAAGAGAUUUGUUCCACUUAGGCUGCUACGCCUACAACAAUGAUGACUGGGGAGCUAGGAAAUGGCAUGAUGCUGAUAAGGCCAACAUCAUUGGAAUACAGUAACAGCAAACUGAAAACAAAAGAGGGUACAUCAUGGGCCAACUGAAAGUAUAUUCUCCAUAACAUUUUUUUAGAAAAUAUGAAUAUAUCCAGCCUCUGUGAUCAACACACAACCAAGUUAUUACAUAAUCUUCAGCUCAGUUGCUGAUUAAAAAAAUAAAAAGAGAAAAUAAUUAUAAGCAAUGUUUAAUAUUACUUAUCCAUCCAUUUUUAACGAAAAUUUUCCAAAGCCUCCGUUGCUCUGCUAUUGAACGGACAGUCUCCCUUAUGUCCUCACACCAUAUUAAUAAAUCGCGAUCAAUAUGUUCCCUCGAAAGGAACCUCCAAAGCGAUGAAUGCAGAUCACCCACGAGCAGCCAAGCACGAACAGGGGACGCUGAAACACCACAUGGAUCUCCACGACAACACAUUCAAGAAGAACAAGACGCCAAUGACGCCAUCAUCAUCGGCCCAAGUAUUGGGCUGGGUUUACACCUGGAGAAUCAAAACAUCGUCAUAUGGGGGAGGUGCAAACAAAGUCGCCUCCAAGGAGGCAGUGGCACCUGCAAGUGUCACUGACCAUGCUUCUGCUCCGACCUCCACCACACCAUGCCAGCAGCAGACUGAGCAAAAAUGCACUCACCGAGCUGUUGAUGGUGCUGAGCACGCUCGCAACUGCCGGCCACCAUUAUCGAGAGCCAGCUGCUGCCGCGUCGAACUCACGCCCAUUGCGCUAGGGCUAAGGCGCCGGCCACAGCAAGACCUAGAUGCAUGUGUCACGUCAUGGCUGACACCACACCAAGUCCACCAUGCCGCCGGACUGUCACAACCGGAAGGGUGCCGGUCGUCAGAUCCGACCCUCGGCGCAUGGAAUCCACCGCCUAGAGGCUAAUAUCUCUGGAGAUGUUUCGAAAAAAAUAUCUCUGGAGUGAAAAUCUACACUUUAGAAGAUCCCCGGGGGAGGGGGAACGUGAAGGAGAGGCUCCCCGCGUGCCAUCAGCAUCACCGGAGAACCCAAGCAGCCACAUAUCCAGGGAUCUCCGAGGAACCCAUCGUCGGAUCCGGUCACGUUGGCCACGAAUCUGGGCCACCAUCACCGCUCCACGCCAAGGGGAAGCACCAGGGAUGCUGCUGCACCACGAACACCCGCAUCGGAUGACCUGUGGAAGAUCCACAGCGACACAACGAUGCGCGGCCAGCGAGAGCACCGGUACGAGAUGCCCGAUCCGGCAGUAGUCCACAACCUCAUAACGCCAUAACAUGCAGAUGCUAUAACUUUCUUGCGAAAGUGUUGCAAAUGGAACUCCUUAACUGUAAGGUUUAAUAGAUAUAAGAGAAAGCUAAAGAAAAUCAGCAUCUAAUCACAGCCUUGAUCGUGCCACUGAUCGAUGACAGCAGCCUUGUGGGGUUCUGAAGUCUGAACCCUUCGGCCCAGGAUUCUUUCAUCCUAGGACGCACCAGACCAUAAAAUAGAGGGGGAAAUGAACCAAAUUUGGUGGAUAUGCAUGGUAGAAAGAAACCUGCAAACUGCCAUGUGCUAAUAUGUUGAAAGGUUUCACCUCUAUGUGUAACGCUGCACUGUCCGAGUACCUCCAGCGUUGGAUGGAGAGAUGGCAAUCUUGGGGGGAAAAGAAACUACACACACCAAUGACAUACGGUAACAGCUUACAAUGAUGGUAGUGGAUUAAAGAAAUGGGAGCACCAGAAACAAAAUCCAGAGUCUCAACAGUCAAAAUCAAACAAGAUCAAACAAUAAAAGGUCUGAGCACCACAAGAGCACCAGGGGGGGGAUCAUCUCCAAUGUGGAUGCAUCAGUGGAGAUUGUAUGUCACAUAAGCAGUGUGGUGUCCUCCAGGUGCCCAGGUUGGUGUGUUAAACUGCCUCCGAUCCACAGCCAUCUUAGAACACUGCAUUCCAAGUUUCCAACACUCUUCAUGGUCUCAACUCUACUUGCACAUUCUCAAUGUGCUUUAUCUUGCUCCAAUCAUCUCCUGACUCGCUACAUCUUUGCUUAAGCCUCUUUGUGCAUUGUGAUAGUGUCAAGGUAUGCAAAGAGGUCAGCCUCUCAAUGCACGGAGGCAAAGUUUUCAUCCAGUAGGUCUCUACUUUGAGCUCACGGAGAGAGGCCAUAUCUCCCAACCAAUCUGGCAGUCCAUCGAUGCCCCUACAGUUCAAUAUCUCUAGCUUCCUGAGGGAUUUCCAGCCUAGAAUGCACUGUGGCAAAGGUACAGGAUCGAUGCAACUGUCAACAGUUAAUUCUUCAAUGUCAAGCAGUUGAAGAGAAUCGGAGUCAGAAGAUAUAUUUUCGAUGUACUUGAUUUCCAUUUUGGAUGAUAAAGCAGAUGUUGAUAGCCCCAUGACUUGGUAGAAUGAUGGCCAAUUGAAUAAGAAUGGAUAUUGUUUAAUUCCAGAUAUGAUAUACCUGGCACUCCAAGGGAUUGAUGGUUCGAAUCUUACAUUCAAACAACAGUCUAUCUCUAAAUAUUGAAGUCUAGGAAAUAAUGUGCGCUGGUAGGAGGAUUCCCUGCCAGUAUCACUGUGUCUUCCUUCCUGCUCUCUUUGAAAUAUGUUCUUAUCAUCCUUCUGCUCAAUACAAUGCGACGUCGAUGUUUCCCACAGUAACUUCCCUACUCUUACUAUUGUAACUCUUCUGAGAUUUUUCACUGGCUGUGUGCUCAAGAUGCAUAUUGAUGAUUUGGCAUAUAGGUCCAGUACAUCUGCCCUAGCCUUCAUGACCUCAAACACCGAGACAGACGAGAUAUACAAGGCUUCAAGAGAUUGUAAAUAAUCUAGAUGGAGGUGACCAGAUUGAACAUUGAAAAGCUCCAAUCUUACAAGAUUUGGUAGCAAACGUAACCAGUUAGGAAAAUCACCACCAACAUAGUUCUUUAUGCAAAGCCUUUUAAGGUUUUGAUGAGGCUGGAGCUCUUCUAACGCGACCUUGUUGAACACUGGAUUGAACCACUCCAAACUAAGCUCACUCCACUCCAAACUUAAAAAUUGGAGCUCCUCUUUUUGCGCCAAUUCAAUUAUGUUUGCUUCUGAGCUUGAUAGAUAUUCGAGAUGUUCAAUAUUAAGUUCAAUAAGCUGGUGACUUGUAGUCUUUUGCAGAAUAGCCAUGUCGUUUGAUGAAUCGAUGGCGAAACUAGUGCCCUGCAAGUUUACAAAGACAUAGAAAAUCAAAAAUAAAACAUUCUGCUUUAGUCAAGAUGGCAUGCAUACUAUAUAAAACCAUCUCUAGAUGCAAACAUGCAGCUUAGAGCAUCUCCACAUCUAAUAAAUAUUUCCAAAUAACUAGUUAAUAGGGACAUCCUAAUAUCUCUUUCAUUGUUAUUGGGAGAGUUGCUUUUGUAGUCUUCUAAUAACCUCAUCCCAAUCCAACUACCGAGUUGGGAGAGUCACAACUCCUCCUUUAUUUGGGGAGAGUUGGGGUGAAUUAUUUGUCGAAUGGAAAAAGGGAAAGGUAAAGGGAGUGUGUUAUAGCACUAUUUUUUCACGAACUCUCUCAAUAUGGUAGAUGUAUUGAGGAAUAGGGAUCUGCUGGAGAUACUCUUAGAUGUAAACCAUUGGACAAUUGAAUGCUGGAUGAGGCUUAUGGAAACAGAGCCAGCCAAGGAUUCCUACCUAACUCUAACCAAUCACGGAUAUGCACAGCAGAUAUGCUGGCAACAGAUCCUACCAGUAAGUUUUUUUCCAAAAAAAAAACAUACCCUACCACGUACACAGCACAAAAAUACAAUUCUAAAAAAUUUGAUGUUCGCCUGGUAUAUCCCAAAAGUUGCUUGACUAUUUUAAUUUGGAGCUUGCUUGACUACUCCUUCCAUCCCAUAUUAUAGGUCAUUUUGGUAUUUCUAGGUUUAUGAUUUUUUGUUGUGCACCUAGAUAUAUAUUAUAUCUAGAUACAUAUUAGAAGCUAUGAAUCUAAAAAUGCCAAAACAACAAACAAUUUGGGAUGGAGGGAGUAUUUUAAUUUGGAGAAUCAGGUCUACUAUAAGUGACACAAUUAAGCAAGGUAGUGGCAUAUCAAACAAUAAAUUAAAUAUUUAUGUUAGAAAGGGAUUCCAUUAAUUCAUCCAUAUAUACGAUAUUCACUCCCUAGAAUUAAUGAAAAUACAGUAAUAAAUCACAUGCCUGCAUGAUAGAUUGAGCCUCUUGUUAUGCAACCGUAAUUUAUAGUAUACAUUGUAGAACAAAACAGUAAUAAUUAAAAACAGUGCAUAUUACCUCAUGUGCAUCUACAUGUUUGAUGUGUUUAAUCUUGUCGUAGUCCUCUCCUAAACGGCUGCAGCAUUCACGCAGUUUGUAAUUGCACUUCUUAAGGGUUAAUGUCCUCAAGGAGGUUACAUUCUUGAUGGAGUGAGGCAAACGCUGCAGUUUGGCAGAAUGAACUUCUAGCUCCUCCAGAGACGCCAGAUCCCCCAACCAAUCUGGAAGUGCCGCAAAAUUACAACUGUCCAAUAUCUGCAAGCUCCUAAGGGAGUGGCAGCUCCGGAUGAUCUCCGGCAAGGUGAUCAGAUCACUGUCAGAUUUAAUAGUUAAAUUCCUCAAGUCGGUGCUGUAUUGGAGAAAUUCUGAAGCGUCAGAGAAGCCAAAGAUAUUUGAUUCCACUUCAAGUCUAAAAAGGUGUGAAGAUCCAACGAGUAUCCCGGGUGAUAGUUCUACCUCACUGCAUGAUGCAACUAUACGCCCUAUGUAUCCUUGAAAAGCUGAACCGAGGGUCAACCUAGGGCAUCCCGUAACAACGAGGUGUGCAAGGCGUGGAAAUAUUUCAUCUCCUUGCACCUUCUGUUCAUCAUCAUCCCAAGACAUCUCUCCAGCAGAUAGCUCCAAGUUCGUGGACAACACCUCCAAAUUCUCCAUCUUAUUAAUACAAAGUUCCCUUAAUUUCCUGAAUGGGUCCCUGCCUCCAUAAAAACUAGUAUCCACUUCUCGAAUAUUAGGCAUAUCUGAAAUGUGCAGUUCUUCAAGGUUUGCUAACUGUCCUAGUGAAGGGAGGCGUGCGCACCUUGGCAUGCCCAUCAGCUCUAUCUUCACAAGAUUUGGAAGAUAGAGAUUUGGAUCGCUCAUCCAGCCACAAAAUGUGGCAUCUCGAUAACCUUCUAUUUGAAGUGUUGAUAGGUUAGGAUGAGGAUGGAGUCUUUGGAGAACUGAAGAAUCAUCAGCUCUGGAGAAUUUUUUGCCCAGAUUAAGAUAUACAUUGUUAGGCCUAUCUUCUGAUCCAGAUAAACCAUUGCUGGAAUAAGAGUUGCGUCAUGGGACCAUACCAAUCUCAGUGUGCGCAGCUGGUCAUAUGUAGCCAACUCUCCAAGGCCAACUUCAUCAGCGCUAUUCACCUUCUCAAGAUUUGAAAUAAAUAGGUCUGUGAUUCCAAAGUCUGUAUUUUGACGGAGGAGAAAAUCACUUUCUUGUACUGCAAAAUACAUUCCCUGUGAAGGAAGAGAGAGUUAGACUAUUACCAAAUGCAACGAAAAUAUUUAUGCAUCCAUUCUGUUCUAGAUAAGAAUUAGAAAAUGUCCAUUGUAAAAGAGGAGUAACGAAGCACAGCCAAGAGAAAUUACCCCAUUUAUCUUGAUGCAUUGAAUUUGAGGAAUAGCCUUUAGGAUUUCAGCUUUGUCUGUGUGCAAGAAAUUCUCAGGAGAUGACAAAGUUAGCUUCACCAAACGAUCCAUGCAUCUCAAUUCAUAAAAACGGUGAAACUUCUCGAGGCAAUCAAUUUCAAGCUCAUGUACUGAUUGAAUGCCAGGCAGUUUCUGAAGAUCAAAGCUCUUACAGUUCGAUAUCUUGAGUUUUUGGAUGGUUUGUUCAAUGACUAAAUCACCACUAUUAAUACGUGUCAAUGUGGGGAUUGACAACUCGUUGACGAAGAACUCCAAAUCAUCACUAUUAAUACGUGUCAAUGUGGGGAUUGACGACUCGUUGAUGAAGAACUCCUGGCUGUUGGGGAUUCUUGGUUUUAGUUUCAGAUAAUUGCAGUGUUCUAUCUUCAGAUAGCAAAGCGGAGGGAAUGCUUCUUUGGCUGGACAUGGUGCAGAAGAAGAUACAGGAACGUGUGUCAUCUGUGUUCUCUUUUUAGUCACUCCCAGUAAUGUUUCCAUCAUGUUCCUUGUCAUUGCUGUAAACUUUGCUUUUCCUUUUCCUCGGGAAGGAUCACCAGACUGCGUCCUGAACACUUCAAGCCUCUUGAAUUCUUCUGAAGGAUCUAAUUCCAUGUCAUGUAUCUCUUCAGAGCUUCUAUUUGUUCUCAAAGCCGAACCAUCUUGGCAAAACCACAAGGUGCAUCCGAAUGCUAGUUCAACAAGCGACAGUCUCUUUAGGUUUCUGCAUGGUGCUAAACAUGCUUCCAUAAGUUUAGGCAUAUUACGAAUUUCAAGCUCCUGUAAGUUUGAUAGAUUUCCUAGAGUUGGAAGCUGGUCACACUCUACGAGAUCAGACAAUACCAGUUUCACCAGAUUUGGGAGUGUAGAACAUAUCUCCCUCAUCCAACUAGGAAACAUACUGUAAUUAUAGCCCUUUAUAGUGAGAUGCUUUAAAGCUGGAUGAGGCUUCAAAUUUUCGAGCACAUCCCUUGUCGUCACUUGGGGUUCCUCUGACCAUUCUAAUGAGGACCACUCCAAACUCAAAGAAGCAAGCCGAUGUCUCCUUCCCAGUUGCACCCCCUUUGCUUCCUCUGCAGACGUCACAACCUCAAGGCAUUUGAUAUUUAGUUCACUGUUUGUAGAAUCAAGGAUAUUCUGUAGAAGGAUAAUGUUGCUGCAAUCACCACUGCCUCUUUCUGAGACCACAAAAUCCGGUAGGGUUAGUAGGUCACUGGAGAUGCCUUCCUUUGAGAACAGUGACAUCCCUCCAACUGAAAGGUACUCAAGGCAAUGCAUGUUUUUCAAUGUGUCAUGCAGCAUUUUCAGGCUCAACUCCUCACCAGAAUAAUCAGAGGAAUGCUGUGUAGAGGAGCUUGGAGCUUCAGAAUCUUUUCUUACAUCAAAUCCUGAUAACGCUGAUAGGUUUAGGUACUCCAAAUUUACAAAUUUACUAAGAAAGCAGAUAAUUUUCGGAAUGCAAGGACAACCAGAUAAAUUCAGAAAUCGGAGUUUAUUUAGUCUGGCACAAGAUUCAGAAAGAUCAAUAAGCCUCCCACAAUCAGAUAAAUCCAAAAUCUCCAGGUUCAGGCAGCCAUCAUUGCCCACACAAAAUUCAGGAAGUGCCUCAAGGCAAGUACAACCAGACAAAUUAAGAUAAAGAAGUCCCUUCAUUCUCUUGAAUGACAGGGUACGCAGUUGCUUAAGCUGGCAGCAGGAGGACAGAUUCAGAUGUUCCAAAUUUUUCAGUAGACUGAAAGAGUCUGGAAGCAUCUCAAGCUUUGAACAACAUGACAAGUUCAAGAACGAAAGCUUUUGCAGCUCCCCAAAUUGUGAAGGUAGCUUUUGUAGGCUGGUACAUCCUGAUAGAUCAAGAUGUUCCAGGACUUGGAGUCUGUGAAUGGGACCUGGAAGCUCACUAAGAUUCGAGCAGCCAUGUAGAUCCAAAUAGUGUAGCUUCUGAAAGUCACAAAUGGAAGUGGAACUAUGGAGCUUUACUUUUUUAGAAAAGGAGCUAUGGAGCUUUUUGAGGCUGGUAUUUUCUGAAAGAUUUAAAAACUGCAGGUGGUGCAAGUUUUCCAUAGAACUGGGUAGCUCAACAGUUUGCAUGCGUGGGAAGUCCAAUACACGCAGCCAUUUAGUUUCUGAAAAGGCACCCUUCGAAGGCUGACAUCCUGUGCAGCCACUAAAAUGAGCAGCCCUUGCUUUGAAAGGCAUAUCUUUGCAUUUUGGGUGCUGACCUUUGAAAUUCAACAACAACGUGUAUCGAUAGUUGUCCUUUUUAGGACCGAAGCUUCCUUGUUUGCCAUCACAGAUGGCAACUUCCUCAAUAGCAACUGACCUAGCAAGUUCAUGAACUAAAUCGUGCAUUUUGAAUAAUACAUUAUGAGGGUUAUUAAGCUUGGAGUAUCUUGCAGAAAUCUGAAAAGCAAAUUUGCAGGUCGAUUAGUAGUGCACUAGAUAUUUUUUUCAAGGACUCAACGGUAAUUUGCAACAUCAGGGAGUUUACUUGUCAUGUUUAUUUGAUUGGUUGAUUUCAGUAAGCAUAAAACAGGCAACUUAAGAAAUAAUGUUCGUGUCACUAUACUUAUCUUUUAAAUAACGUUGACUCAAAUAUUUAUAAGAUGUUAGAAUUGAAUCCAACCAUGUCCGAAUGAUUCAUCAUAGGAUCACUCCAUGAAUUUUACACCGCGAUCGAUAUGCUUGUGCGAAAUGAAGUGGAUUAUUCAAAACUAGAAUCAGAGGAUUUAUGACUAUCUCAUUCUUCAAACCAAACAUUAUAUUGAAUUAGUAGUAGAUGAACGCCAUAUUCUGAAAUAAGAUUAAAAUACUAAUAAAUCAUGCGAGAAAUGACAGCACAACUCAAUACAAGGAAAAGAGUUAACUGUACCAAGCCUGUGUAUAUAAUAUAACUCACCGAGAUAGAGUCACUUGUAGCCUCCAGGAAUGACAUCUGACAAAGUUCAUGUAGGUAUUCCUCAGCACGAUGUGUGGUCAGAACAAAUCUCAGAGCAAUCCACUUAUGAAUCAGUUCUCUCUUCUCUAUGACGAAGCCUUUUGGGAAGGCAGAAAAGUAUACAAAGCAAGGUCUCAGAUAAUAUGGCAUGUGGUAGUAACUAAUCUUCAAGGAUGGUAAUAUUGCAGUAGAUGUUGUUCCAGUCGUUGGAUCGCGUUCGUGUUCCCACAGGUCACUCUUCAGAGUUUCUUCCCACUUGUGCAUCGGCAUAUCUAGCAGACGAUCCCCAAGAGAUUUGACUGCCAAAGGCACUCCAUCGCAUUUCUUUACUAUUUUCUCCCCCAUAUGUACCUUUGCCAUUUCAGAUUCUUUAAUUCCAUUUGGAAAUGCCUUAGCUUUGAACAGCUUCCAGCAGUCAUCGUAAGGCAAGGCACCCAACUUGAAUGGCAACUCUCGAUUCAUCCGCUUAGCAACCUGUUCACUUCGAGUGGUCACAAUUAUCUUUCUGCCUGGUGCGCCACCUUUCAACAUCGCUUUUUAUCUUUUGCAAUUGUCCUGUGUUUUCUUCCCAUAAGUCAUCUAAAACAAUAAGAUACUUCUUUCCACGGAGGAUCAUCUCCACGCGCAUCUGCACGGAGGACAAGUCAUACUGGUUACUCUGUCCAUCUACUUGGGAGAUAAUUGAUCGACCAAUCUUUUCAUCGCUAAAACUUGUGGAGACAUAAACCCAAAUCUGGAUAUCAAAAUCUCUCUUAGUUGUAUUGUCAUCGAAAACCAUUUGGGCGAGAGUGGUUUUACCCAGACCACCAAAGCCAUAUAUAGGGAUGAUGGUGUGCUUGCAAUCUUCUUGCAGCAACUUCAUCAACUCUACCUUGUCCUUGUCCCUCCCAAGUAUACCUUCUACAAGGCAAGGGCCUGUAGCCCGUGUCUGGAUCACGUCCUGGUCGUCAGAGCUUGUGUCCACCAUCAAGUCGAACCGCCUCAGCUUUUCUAUGUUGUCCAAUCUUUGUUUCAUGGCCUUCAACUUGCUAGGCAUGCUUAGCCGCAACUUCAGAGGAAUGGAGAUCUCCUGCAAAUCCAUGUCGUGAAUUAGAAAAGGGACAAGAAAUGGAAAUGGACAUAUCGACAUCAAACACACUCGAGACCUACCGUUGUAGAUUUGUUAUUCUGCGAGUCAUCUUUAUUACUCAGGAUAGCACCUUCAAAUUCCAUAAUAAUGUCCUCCAUGUCAUAGGCUGCUGCCUUUAGCUCCCUCAUCCAGACGCAGACGUCACCAUCUUUCAUCAACCGCUUCUCCACCCUAACCAUGCUAUUUUGGAUGGCAUCCACAGUAUCCUUGAGGCCUUUGAGCUCAUCACCUAGCUUCAGCUGCGAGGCGAUCGCCUCCCAGAUGGCACUACCUAGCAUGCCGCCGACCUGCUUCAAUGCGGCCGAGGCGAGAAACUCCCCUACCCCCACCAUGUGGCUGAAGGGGACGCCAAUCACACAGUGCGAUGAGUGCUUGACAUCAGGCCGGGUGAGGAACAGUCCAAGAGAAAAACUGGAGAAGACACAGCGAGAAAUUGUCAGUCUCUCUCUGCUUUUGACCUGAAAAUCACAACCCUUGCAGCAAACUCUGUAUCAAGGACAGGCAGGAAAUAUUUACAAGCAAGGAGGAAAAGGGCAAAUAUUUCAGUCAGAAUUGAGACAAAUAAUAGCACCCGAGGUGCGCUUUAGAUCGUACUCUGUUUCAAUUAAACUGACUCGAGAUGGAAACCCCGAUUCGGAUGCGAGGUGGAAGGAAAGAAAGGUGAUUAGUUCUCAGCUUUUACCGUGAGGGUGGUGUGUUGUGUCCAGCACCCGAUGGGAUGGCAGGUAUAACUAAUACUAUGCCUGCAGCUGCAAGAGGCGGAGCCACCUAGGCGAUCGUCUACUCCUCUUCCUCGGCAUGUUUCUGUGCAGGCAUUGCAUUGGGCCUUGGGGGUACCGUAUUUGGAUUCGGUGAACACGAACGAUGAGUUUUGUAAUCCUCGUCACAUUGGUCUAAUUGUGUGGGAAAGAGCCCUCUAAUUUAACCUAUUAAAUUUAAGGAUUGAGCUCACUAAGAACCGAGCUGAAAUACUAUAUGAUUUUAAGCUAAAUAUACUUAGGGUUGAGUUGGAUUGUGAAGGAAGCACAAGUGUCAUGAUUCAUUAUCAACCUAAUUGUACUAUACGCACCCAAGGAAAACUUUUCUAGACUCGCCAGCCAUUUGUCACCAUGUGCCUAUGAACCCGAGGAGUACCACAAUUUCUUACUUGCCAAAUUGAUAAUUCUUCAAUCCAUCGUUUCACAUGGAAUGAGGCCCAAUUCCAUUGCUUUUGAAAUUGGCUCCAAUAUAUGACCAUAUGACUGUCAUCAGCUAUCCGUCAAAGUCCUUGAAACGACAGUGGUGUCCCCGCGACUUGUCAAGAUUAGGACUACCUGCACAUCAGAAUUCACAUUCAGUUUAGUGUAUCGCAUCAGCUCCAAAAUCGUCGAAUUUGUUCUCGCCUAAUCCAAUCAUUGGCGCGACGACUCUUGUUUUGAUACUGAAUUGACCCAUACGGACAAAAGUGGCCCUCGCCACGGCGAGCGCAACAGCAGUGUCCUACUCCAAAGUCCUACCUCGCAACAGCAGCGAGGCGCCGCCGUCUGAUUCCCCCCCAUAGGUAGCCCACGGAGCUAGGCAGGCUGCGCCAUCCUGGGCCACGUCCGCUCAGAUCUUGCGCUUCCCCUGCGCCGCCAGAGGGAGGAUGGGACGGCAGGAAGAAGUUUCUAAAAUUGACAGCAGGAGAGCGGCUUCGGGAUUUAGGGAAGAAUGGGGAGCGAGAAAAGGAGACAUCCACUUACAAGUGGGCCAACUUGUCAUAGACCAGGUAUUCAGGGCCCUAUCACCAAUUUUGCUUUUGUGAGAGAACAAAAAUGUGACAGGAUGAUUGGCAUUUUGGUGAUCAUGCCUCGUUCGAUAAGUUCUAAAUUAGGAGGACCUUUUAAAUUUACAGCCAUUGUUUUUUUCUUCUUUUUCCUUUUGUGAAUGGGCGGAUCUAGGACCCUGCCCAUAUAGUCCUUUAGCAUUUGUGGUGUUUAGACUAAAAAAUGUAUAAUCUUAAUUAGAGAAAAGGAGGUCAAGGCAAGGUUACACUGUGUUUUGGGCACAAACGAGCAAUUCAGCCGCAGCCCCGUUCUGGUCCGCCCCUGUUUGUGAUGGCUCCUGACAUCGAGCAUCUUAUUGCCAACUGGCCUCUGACAGAAAAAAGAGGCAGGACACAGGAAACGGGCAUCCAAUCAUCCGCAUAUACAACAAAAACUCCAGUGUUUCACAAAGACAAGAAUCCGAAUUGUGCAUUCCUUCAUCAUCAUCAUCAUCGAAAUAUCUACAGUCAAUACAAACUUCCCAAUACACCAAAUGCCAAACUCCAAACCUGUAGAAUGGCCAGAGAUUUGCUCCACACGGCUACUGCAACUAGACCCAAAAACUUAGGUGACACCAUGGCUGAUAGUGAUAAGUUCAACUUGAUUGCAACACAGAAAAUGGAAGAAAGGCACUGUAUGGGGAACUGAAACUUCUCUCUAUGGCAUAGAUAAAUCUAGUGCUCUCCCCGGCAAAAUUAAAGUAACCGGUCCAUCGAUCUUCUUCCUCUAAAGCCAUUUGAAGAGGAUGCCUCCAUGGGUGGCGAAGAAGGGGGCAAAGACCAGGGACUCAACGGCCAUGAGCUUGAUGAGGAUAUUCAGUGAUGGGCCUGAGGUGUCCUUGAGCGGAUCACCGAUGGUGUCACCAAUGACAGCAGCUUUGUGUGGAUCGGAGCCUUUGGGGCCCAGAGUUCUUGCGUGCUCAGAUGCACCAGCCUGUAAAACCAUGGAGAGAACCAAAGUUAGUCGAGUUUGACAAAUAUGGAUAGGAAGAAAACUGCUGAUUGAUAGGUGCUAUUGUUUCUACCUCGAUGUAUUUCUUUGCAUUGUCCCAGGCACCUCCAGUGUUGGAUGCAGAGAUUGCAAUCUGAAUGAGAAUAUAGAUAAUUAGUUAUGAAUGAAACAUGCCGACAUCACAAGAGAUUAUAACAAUGAAAGCAACCACGGAAAGAGUACCAACCUGGACACCAGAAACAAGAGCACCAGCAAGAACACCAGAGAGGGUCUCAACACCAAACAAGAUCCCAACAAUAAGCGGGGUGAGCAUGACAAGUGCGCCUGGGGGGAUCAUCUCCUUGAUAGACGCAUCAGUGGAGAUCUUGACACAUGUCGCAUAGUCAG